ACCCAGACUCUCCACACUUGAAUUUCUCCCUCUGCUCCCAGAGACACCCUCCACCCUGAGGUCCCACUUCUGCCAUGGCUGAGGGCUCCCUGAAAAUCCCCUCCACCCUGAGAUCUCCAACCACGUAUGCUGAGACACCCCCUUCUAUCCUGAGGGCAGCCUAUGACUUCUGAGCCCCCAACCCCUAGUUCUGAGGACCCCCAGAGGUAGCUAAAUACCCCUAUCCACCCUGAGGUCUUUCCAGACUCCCUGAGGUCCCUUUCCAUCCUGACACCCCCACCCUCACCCCAUGAGCCCUGAGAUUCCUCUAUGCCCUAAGGACCCAACUCCCCCCACCCCUUAAUUUCCUCCUAGGCACUCUGAGACCCCUCCUGAAGUUGCCAGCACCCCCCUCUCUCCCCACCCAUCACCUCUGCACUCAGCCAUGACGUGCAGCCUGCAGUUAGGCACCCCUGCCAGGCAUCUUCAGCUCUUUCCAGCCACUGCCACCCUGCAGAGAGCUGCUCCUUUGGGGGCUGUUUGGCAAUCUUCAUGUUGCACAUUAAAAACUCAGCAAUUCAGUACUGCA